rnacentral:lncRNA from 1 species
CAUUUACUUCCAACUAAUAAAUGCAAGUGGCUGAUUCUGAUGAGACCUGUUUCAUUUCCUGCUUGAAAGUCUAGAGCAAGAAUACUUAGCUCAGAGACUGAAAGUCUAGAGCAAGAAUACUUAGCUCAGAGACUGAUCUGGAUGAGGCUGGGGAAGGAGACCACCAGAGCUUAAACGAAGCCACUAAAAGCAGUAAGAGAAACAACUGUGAAGCCUGUGAGAAAAGCAGGGUGUGUUUCUGAUAAGGAAAGUUACCAGCCAAAGUGGCUCCUCUUCAAAAAAAAAAAAAAAAGUGAUGGUCUGAGACCCAUAGGGGCUUCGAGUAAACGUUUCCGAUGACAUUUACUUACAUAAUUUUGAGAUCAUACCACUUGACUGAGUUAAGAUUUGCAGAAUGAAUGGAGGAGCUGACGGAUGCAUAAAACUGCUAAUUCAAGAUCAAGCAGAACAGAAUUUAAUCACAUAGGACUGAAUGAACUGAUAAAGAAUGAUAAUGGAUUUUGUUUGAAACAUUACCGGCUCACCCAGGCGCAGUGGCUCACGCCUGUAAUCCCAGCACUUUGGGAGGCGAGGCAGGCCAGUCAUGAGGUCAGGAGUUCGAGACCAGCCUGACCAACAUGGUGAAACCCCGUCUCUACUAAAAAUACAAAAAUUAUUCAGGUGUGGUGGCGUGCACCUGUAAUCCCAACCACUCCAGAGACUGAGGCAGGAGAAUUGCUUGAACCCAGGAGGCGGAGGUUGCAGUGAACUGAGAUCGUGCCAUUGCACUCCAGCCUGGGCAACGGAGCGAGACACCAUCUCAAAACAAACAAACAAAAAACUCAUAAAAAAAGAAACAUUGCUGACUCUUUAAUGUAGUAUUUUCUGGGUGUAUGGAACUCCUUUCUCUUUUCUGUUCAGCUGUCUACAACUCAUAGACUAAAUUUUGUGAACAGAAAUAAACAUUUUAUCUUCUCCCUGCCUGAUUCCUUCAGAAUUUAGAAACUCUUAAGGGCAAUAAAAUUAUUUGCAUAAGUUCAAAAAGAAUCUGUUCUCUUUGCAACAGGACACAAUUAGAAAUAUUGGUUAUAUUACCAAGGCCUUGACUGGAAUGUCAUAUUUGGGAAUAAUGCAUAAAAUCAGACAUGACCAGACAAUUUUAAGGAAAUAAGAUAAACUUUAUGGAGCCAAUGCCUACAAAGACUUCUUGAGGAAACCAGCCUGGCACCUGGCUUAUAGGGUUUCCAGGCAUACAGGUGACUAAGGAAAAACCACUUCACGGCAUCCCCAGGAAACAGGAUAAUUUGGGGACCCGGAAAAAGAAGAAUUCAUUCACAUCUAUCGGUAUUGGAGGUGAUGGCUUAGCUUAUCUUCCUAGGCUUGGGUUUCUAGGCUCAAGAGUCUUUUAAAGGCUAAUUGGAGAUUCUGUAUUACAAGUUACAGAAAAGCUUGUCUAUGUGGUCAUCUCUUCUUGCUGCAGUCAUAUAAAUAAUCAGUUCAAAUCUAAUAAGAUUACUUAUGUUGUAAACAAGAAUAAAUUUACUUUGGUUAUUUUUUAUCAAUUAACUGGGAGGCAAUGACUAUAGAAACUUCACAUUUCCAUGGAGACUUUCCAAACUAAUGUUUGCAACUUUUCUCCUUCCCUCCUGACUUGGCUUAUCUGAGAACUAGAACUGCCCUUUUCCCCAAGCCCUGCAACCUGAAACUGCAUGACCUGAUAUAAGUUUCAAGAAAAUCACACAACAACUCAAGUGUGGACAACCUUCAUGCCUGCUGCUGUGUAGGCCACUCAGAAAGCUCCCCAGCACACUGCACAGUAUCUCCAAAGAUACUCAAGCUGCAAAUGGAAAGAACCAUUGGAUGACCUUGCUUUUCCUCACUCCAGCAUGUAAAGGUGUUUCAAGCCCAGCAUUUACAAAUCUGGGCUAACUGCCCUCUGGACUCUGAAGUAGUAGUUACUCUCAUUUUCCUUUUUACUCAUAGAGAUUUUCAUCAUUAAAUGCCUAAAUGCUUGUAUCAUCCAGCAAAUAUCCCCCUCCAAAUGAGAAAUAAUCUUGUAUUGUUCAAAGGAAAGAACAAUGUCUCUUUGUUCUUUGAAUAAGGGGGCCAAGGGUAACAAAGACUAUCUCGUUGACCAAGCUAGAGUCAGCCUCCUCUAAGUCCUCUUUUUGACUAGGCCACAGCUUUGAGCUCUGCUCUUGGCCCAUUUAGUCCAGUUUUAGAAAGAACCCUGCUGAAUCCAUUUAGCAAACAUCCUCCACUCUUGGUAUCUGAUCACUGUCCAUAUCUGACCAAAUGCCAAAUUGCUGACCCUCAACAUGUUGUCAUCAUGGCCUGCCUUCAGCAAGAAUCCUGGCAGACAACUGAAUUAGGGGAUUUAUUCUACCCAGGCUAUACUCAGCUACAAAUGAUAGGAGAACCCACCUAGAAUGGAGCAGAUGCAAGGCACACAGAGGGCUUAUUCUCCAUUCAUUGAACCUGAGAUGACCUUAUAACUUGCUUUUGCCAGUAGAAUCCAGAGGAGGUAACACGGUGCCAUCUCCAAGCCUGUGGCUCGAGAGGUCGGAAAAGAAGCUCUUUCUAAUUGGAAAACAGCCAGCAAAGUUGUUAAUUCCAAAAAACAAGUAUGUCUCUGGAGUUAAAAAAUUUUCUGUAAAGAGCCACAGUGGCUUUGCCAUCUCUAACACACUCCAAGAACUAGUAUCCUUGCCACACAUUCCCGAAGAGAUUAAUGUUAUAUUGGAGUCCUUAGAAACAAGAACAUACCAAUCAUAUCCUUCAAUCAGUCUCAACAAUGAAAAGCCUGAGAGCCCCUUUGCAGUUUGUCUGGGCUAUCUGAAGAUUUCUGGCCAAUAGUUUGUAAGGGGAAUUGGAACACUUCAAUUCUCAUCUGAUACAUUUAAGGAAAGAUACAAGUUCUCCACACUUUGCUUCCAACUUCACAGACAAGAGAUCUAAGAACUUGGAGAUGGAGAGUGACAGGAAGGGACCAGCUCAAUCUCUGAGUUUCUGCUGGAGAAGGAUGACCAGGGAAACUACAGCAGACUGUGAUAUGGUACAUAUGCCCAUGGAGAUAAACAAGGUUGCAGGAUUUUGAUGCCAUUUCUGACCCUUAGAGCUACCUGCUUAGUGAUAGACACUCACAGAAAUUAAGAGCUGGGAAACAGUCAGGUAUUACACAUAAAAUCUCCGGAGAACUUUUUUCUGGAACCAGCUCUGAGACCCCAGCUGACAGUUCCCUCUGCUUGUUCCUUCACAAAAGCGCAGACCUGGUUUGCUGGUUAACAAUUAUACAUUUUAAACAGUUCUGUGCUCUGGCUGCAUCCUCAAAUGCCUCUGAAAAAUAAGCACAUUUUAAAAACACAAAAAAGAAUAAACAACAAGACAGUUCAGCAAGAGAAAGAAAAACAUAAGCCACUGCUUCAUUACAGAGCCAUGGGCAGGCCUCUCAAAGGCAGCAGCUUUUAUAAAUGAUUUCUUGGAAAAGCUUUUAUGUCUUCAAAGUGUUUCUGCUAAAAGAAGCUAAGUGUUUAUCUUGUGUCUCAGGAGAGGAUAUAGCAUAAAGUCCAGGUCACUAAAAAGAGGUAUUCUGAGCUCUUAUUUAUGUGUCAGGCCUGGGAAGCCAGCUUCAGAAGCUGGCUCAGUGAUAAAUCAUCCACAUGGUUGCUGCAUCUCUAAACACCGCAUCUUUCAUUACAUCAGGGAGUUAAUAAAUAUUAUCUAUUUUAUCAAUGAAGGGCAGUGCCUUUGACUCAGAUAAUUUUAUUGUAGAAAAAGACACAGUUUGUUGAUUUUUUAAAGGUUCACUUUAAAAUAUUUCUGAGAUACUGAGUCAUUUGUAGGGAAUAAACACUAAGCCACAAAACUCAAGGCCUAGACAGAUAUUACACAGCAAUCUUUUUGAACAAAUUGGCUUUCUUUGCCUUUUCUUUUUGGCCCGUUGUCUUGGGUCUCUAGGGAACUGUGCCUAUGAAUAAUGUCUGUCUGGAUGCAAUAAAGGGCCAGCUAAGUGGGAGAAAGGGUGGUGUGAGAAAAUAUGACAGCAGAGAUUAUCAUGAGUUCUGAUGAGAUGAAGUUUAGGUUUGGGAUUUUCCUGCUUGAAGAUGAGCCUGGCCCUUUUGGGCUCCAAACUCCUUAUUGAGGGCAUCUUGCUAUCUCCUGUAUCUAGCACAUAAUUAGCCUAGAAUAUAUCUGGUGCUCAAAAAUGAAUGGUUGGAUGAAUAAAUGAAUCAAUAGGGUAUAGCCACUUCUCACUUUUUAUCAAAGAAUCCCCUGGGAAUUCACCCAUAAAGCAUGCUAUUAUAAAGCUAAUUGCAUUUCCCCACAAAAACAAUGCCUUUAUUGGAGGUUUGUUCUAGACCAAGAGCUCAACAUCUAAUAAAUCAGAGCUAUGACAAAACUGUCUUAAGCACAACUUUGUAAUAGAUGAAAAUCUCUUUAGUUGUGUGCCCAAGCCCCAUGAAACUACACUGCUUAUCUUGAGUAUGCAAAGGGACCCAUCUGUGACUCUCUACAUGUUCAGCUAUUCUGCAUUACAAAUGUAAUUGAUACGUAAACCCUGAUAAAAAAUUAACACAUACAGAAUCAUAACAUUGUUGUCCUCUGAGUGGAUAGAAAGGUUUGAGAAGUGAAUUUGGAUGACAAGUAUUUAAAUUUUACACCCAGGCCGGGCAUUGGGGCUCACGCCUGUA